rnacentral:rRNA from 1 species
UAACGCGUGAGUAACCUGCCUUUCAGAGGGGGAGUAACGUUCUGAAAAGAAACGCUAAUACCGCAUGAGACUACAGAGCUGCAUGGCUCAGUGGUCAAAGGAGCAAUCCGCUGAAAGAUGGACUCGCGUCCGAUUAGAUAGUAGGCGGGGUAACGGCCCACCUAGUCGACGAUCGGUAGCCGACCUGAGAGGGUGACCGGCCACAUUGGGACUGAGACACGGCCCAAACUCCUACGGGAGGCAGCAUG